rnacentral:rRNA from 1 species
UGGGGAAUAUUGGACAAUGGGCGGAAGCCUGAUCCAGCAACGCCGCGUGAGGGAUGACGGCCUUCGGGUUGUAAACCUCUUUCAGCACAGACGAAGCGCCCGUUGUGGGUGGUGACGGUAUGUGCAGAAGAAGGACCGGCCAACUACGUGCCAGCAGCCGCGGUAAUACGUAGGGUCCGAGCGUUGUCCGGAAUUAUUGGGCGUAAAGGGCUCGUAGGCGGUUUGUCGCGUCGGGAGUGAAAACCGGGUGCUUAACACCUGGCUUGCUUUCGAUACGGGCAGACUAGAGGUAUGCAGGGGAGAACGGAAUUCCUGGUGUAGCGGUGAAAUGCGCAGAUAUCAGGAGGAACACCGGUGGCGAAGGCGGUUCUCUGGGCAUGUCCUGACGCUGAGGAGCGAAAGUGUGGGGAGCGAACA